rnacentral:rRNA from 1 species
AUGAGUAUCCUAACUUGGAACUAUCGUGGGGGUGGCAAACCCGCGACAGUUCAUGAGCUUCGUGAUCUCACAAGGCAACAUGCCCCCUCGGUGUUAUGUAUCUUGGAAACUCAGAUAGAGGGCUCCUGAGUGGAGAAUCUAGUAGGUACUCUAGGGUUUAGUAAGAGUUAUGCUAUAAACAGUUCUGGUAGGAGUGGAGGAAUAGGAUUUUUUUAG